GCCGGAGUGGCGAAAUGGCAUACGCGCGGGAUUCAAAAUCCCGUUCCCGCAAGGGAGUGUGGGUUCGAGUCCCACCUCCGGCACCA
rnacentral:tRNA from 1 species